UACAGAGGGUGCGAGCGUUAAUCGGAAUUACUGGGCGUAAAGCGUGCGUAGACGGUUAUCUAAGUCCGUUCUGAAAGUCCGGGGCUCAACCCCGGGAGGCGGAUGGAUACUGCAAGGCUCGAGUCCGGAAGAGGCAAGUGGAAUUCCCGGUGUAGCGGUGAAAUGCGCAGAUAUCAGGAAGAACACCCGUGGCGAAAGCGGCUCUCUGGAACGGUACUGACGCUGAGACGCGAAAGCGUGGGGAGCGAACAGG
rnacentral:rRNA from 1 species